ACUGGUAUGUGUGGGGCUCCAGCCACCUUAGUUGGAAUUCACCAUGAACUGCAUCUCGAGGAUCAAGUUUAGGCUCCCCAGUCCAUUGUGACAUCCAGCAAAGUGGAGCCGGGCGCCCCCAGCAUCCCGUCUGUCUGACGCUAAAUGACGAGGCUCUCCAACCCACUUAGCUCCAAGCUCAACCUUCUGCAAAAGUUCAACCUUCUGCACCACUGGGGAUAUCGUGCAGCUCAGAGACGGGGUUUCGUCUUGUUGCCCAGGAUGAUGUAGAACUCCUGGGCUCAAGCAAUCCACUUGCUUUGGCCUCCCAAAGUGCUGGGAUUACAGACGUGAGCCACCAUGCCCUGCUGGUUUAAUGUUAUAUUCAAGUUUCUCUAACUGAAGGGCAUGUACUGUUGAGCAUGCUCAGAAGCCAAGGUUCAAGCCAUUCUUCAACUAUAGAUGCUUCAACUCAUCUCUCUUUCUUCCAAAUAUUCUCUCCCUUAUCAAUUUCACCAAUUAUACCAAGUAACCCCCUGCUUAUUCCCCUAGAACAGACAGAGCUGCUACUAGUCUGUGCCUUAUGUAAUUUAGAAAAAGACUCUUGGAAUGUAGCCCCAGACCAUGAUGUACGAGCAUGAGUUGGGUAUCGCCCCAUUUUAUUCUGUAAUUCAGGUGCCCUUGUGCAGUGAAUAAUGUGGCAGCUGUGAGACUAGUGAUGCUAAACAGGUUUAAUUUUUGGUGCAAAUUCUAAUGAAUUAAUAAUAGCUGUUUUAAAAAAACACACAGUGCUAAGAAAGACUCUGAGGCUGUUUUCAGGCUCAGUAGAUAAAGUGUACUGUAAGCUGUGAUGAUUUGCCUUGGUUGGGAGACAAGUUUUAUAAUUUAUAGAACACAACUUUCAAAUGACCUUGUAAUACAAGGCAACAACCCUACUUUUCCAGGUCUCUAACAAAAAGCAUCUAGCUGAGCUAGAGUGUUUUCAUGAGAUGUCUGCUACACAAAACGAUAUCUUGCUUAAUAAAUAACACCUGUUUCUACUUGGUGUCAUUUCACUGUUUAAUCAAAACUUAUUUUCACCACUCUUAACCACAAUCUAAAGAAGGAUGCUUCAAUCUCUUCCUGAUUUAGCCUUAAACUUGGUCAUGUGUACCAUACGACUAGGAUUGCCAGAGUCAGCCACCCUCCCAACAAAGGAUGCUCAGUUAAAUAUUGCACAGAACACACUUAUACUAAAAAUUGUUUGUUGUUUAUCUGAAAUUCAAAUUUAAUAGGGCAUAAUGUAUUUUACUUGGCAAUCCUACCUAUGAUGGACAUAUAUAUUUCCCCCCAGCUUUAUUAAGGUGUAAUUGACAAAUAAAAGUGUAAAUAUUUAUGAUAUAAAUGGAAAUAUAUACAGAUGCUCCUCGACUUUUGACGGGGUUACAUCCUGAUAAACCUGUCAUAAGUUAAAAAUAUUGUGAGUUGAAAAUUCAUGUAAUACACCUAACUUACUGAAUAUCCUAGCUUGGUCUAGCCAACCUUAAAUGUGCCCAGAACCCUUACAUCAGUAUAUUUGGGCUGAUGUAACACAAACCCUAUUUUAUCAUAAACUGUUUAAUAUCUCCUGUAAUUUAUUGAAUACUGUAUUGAAAAUGAAAGAUAAAAUGGUUGUAUGGGUCUCGAAGUAC
rnacentral:antisense_RNA from 1 species